AUUUUCUUUCUUUAAAAUGUAAUUUAAAAAUAAAUUCCAGCAAUCAAAAAAUUUAGGACUCAUUAUUGGAGGCACACAUUUUCAUUAAAUAAAUGCAAAAAAACCAAUACACAAUAGUUGCAUUGAGUAAAUCUGGAUUUUUUUAUUCCACUUCUAUGGUGUGUAUUCACAUCAAUGGACCUCACUGGGUUAAUGUGGUAUUAAAGAUCAGUUUCCUAUGCAUGCUUGACACAUAUCAGCCAUCUAUUAUAUAUACAGUAUAUUUAUAUCCAGAAAAUGCAUUUUGCUUUGUUUUUUUGCUCAAAAUUUUGAGCAAAACAAAAAGACUAACUUUAAACUUCCAUUUGUAAAUUUCUCUUUUAGUUCCUCUGCUU
rnacentral:lncRNA from 1 species